GACGAACGCUGGCGGCGUGCUUAACACAUGCAAGUCGAACGGAAAGGCCCCUUUGGGGGUACUCGAGUGGCGAACGGGUGAGUAACACGUGAGUAACCUGCCCUUGACUUCGGGAUAACUUCAGGAAACUGGGGCUAAUACCGGAUAGGAAUCCUUGCUGCAUGGUGGGGGUUGGAAAGCUUCGGCGGUUUUGGAUGGACUCGCGGCUUAUCAGCUUGUUGGUGGGGUAGUGGCUUACCAAGGCUUUGACGGGUAGCCGGCCUGAGAGGGCGACCGGCCACAGUGGGACUGAGAUACGGCCCAGACUCCUACGGGAGGCAGCAGGGGGGAAUAUUGCACAAUGGGCGGAAGCCGGAUGCAGCAACGCCGCGGGCGGGAGGACGGCCUUCGGGUUGGAAACCGCUUUCAGCAGGGGCGAAGCUUGUGGUGACGGUACCUGCAGAAGAAGCACCGGCUAACUACGUG
rnacentral:rRNA from 1 species